UACAGAGGGAGCGAUCGUUAAUCGGAAUUACUGGGCGUAAAGCGCACGUAGGUGGCGACGUAAGUCGGGUGUGAAAGCCCCGGGCUCAACCUGGGAAUUGCAUUCGAGACUGCAUUGCUGGAGUACGGAAGAGGAGGGCGGAAUUCCCGGUGUAGCGGUGAAAUGCGUAGAUAUCGGGAGGAACAUCAGUGGCGAAGGCGGCCCUCUGGUCCAGUACUGACACUCAAGUGCGAAAGCGUGGGGAGAAAACAGG
rnacentral:rRNA from 1 species